CCUACGGGAGGCAGCAGUGGGGAAUAUUGGACAAUGGGGGCAACCCUGAUCCAGCAAUGCCGCGUGAGUGAUGAAGGCCUUAGGGUUGUAAAGCUCUUUUGCCAGGGAUGCUGUACCUGGAGAAUAAGCCCCGGCUAACUUCGUGCCAGCAGCCGCGGUAAUACGAAGGGGGCUAGCGUUGUUCGGAAUUACUGGGCGUAAAGGGCGCGUAGGCGGCCGAUUAAGUUAGAUGUGAAAGUCCUGGGCUCAACCUGGGGACUGCAUUUAAUACUGGUUGGCUUGAAUUCGGGAGAGGAUAGCGGAAUUCCCAGUGUAGAGGUGAAAUUCGUAGAUAUUGGGAAGAACACCGGUGGCGAAGGCGGCUAUCUGGACCGAAUUGACGCUGAGGCGCGAAAGCGUGGGGAGCAAACAGGAUUAGAUACCCUUGUAGUC
rnacentral:rRNA from 1 species